CCUACGGGAGGCAGCAGUAAGGAAUCUUCCACAAUGGACGAAAGUCUGAUGGAGCAACGCCGCGUGCAGGAUGAAGGCUUUCGGGUCGUAAACUGCUUUUAUAUGGGAAGAUUAUGACGGUACCAUAUGAAUAAGGACCGGCUAACUACGUGCCAGCAGCCGCGGUAAUACGUAGGGUCCAAGCGAUAUCCGGAAUUACUGGGCGUAAAGCGUGUGUAGGUGGAUUAAUAAGUGUGAUGCGAAAUCCGGCGGCUCAACCGUUUGGACUGUGUCGCAUACUGUUAGUCUAGAGGACGGCAGAGGUAAGUGGAAUUACGGGUGUAGCAGUGAAAUGCGUAGAUAUCCGUAGGAACACCAAUGGCGAAGGCAGCUUACUGGGCCACACCUGACACUGAGACACGAAAGCGUGGGGAGCGGAACAGGAUUAGAUACCCUGGUAGUCCACGCCGUAAACGAUGCAUACUAUUAGUAUGGGGUAUCGACCCCCUGUGCUGAGAAGCUAACGCGAUAAGUAUGCCGCCUGGGGAGUACGAGCGCAAGCUUAAAACUCAAANAGUAGUUAGUUAGNGNGAGAGNGCGAGACGACGACGAGGAGAGG
rnacentral:rRNA from 1 species